rnacentral:rRNA from 1 species
UAUUGGGCGUAAAGCGCGCGCAGGUGGUUUCUUAAGUCUGAUGUGAAAGCCCACGGCUUAACCGUGGAGGGUCAUUGGAAACUGGGAGACUUGAGUGCAGAAGAGGAAAGUGGAAUUCCAAGUGUAGCGGUGAAAUGCGUAGAGAUUUGGAGGAACACCAGUGGCGAAGGCGACUUUCUGGUCUGCAACUGACGCUGAGGCGCGAAAGCUUGGGGAGCAAACAGGAUUAGAUACCCUGGUAGUCCAUGCUGUAAACGAUGAGUGCUAAGUGUUAGGGGGUUUCCGCCCCUUAGUGCUGCAGCUAACGCAUUAAGCACUCCGCCUGGGGAGUACGACCGCAAGGUUGAAACUCAAAGGAAUUGACGGGGGCCCGCACAAGCGGUGGAGCAUGUGGUUUAAUUCGAAGCAACGCGAAGAACCUUACCAGGUCUUGACAUCCCGAUGACCGCUCUAGAGAUAGAGUUUUCCCUUCGGGGACAUUAGUGACAGGUGGUGCAUGGUUGUCGUCAGCUCGUGUCGUGAGAUGUUGGGUUAAGUCCCGCAACGAGCGCAACCCUUAAUCUUAGUUGCCAUCAUUUAGUUGGGCACUCUAAGGUGACUGCCGGUGAUAAACCGGAGGAAGGUGGGGAUGACGUCAAAUCAUCAUGCCCCUUAUGACCUGGGCUACACACGUGCUACAAUGGACGGUACAAAGAGUCGCUAACUCGCGAGAGUAUGCUAAUCUCAUAAACCGUUUCUCAGUUCGGAUUGUAGGCUGCAACUCGCCUACAUGAAGCCGGAAUCGCUAGU